rnacentral:tRNA from 3 species
GCCGCUGUGGCUUAGUGGUAGAGCGGCUGAUUCGUAAUCAGCAGGCCGGGGGUUCGAAUCCCUCCAGCGGCU